AUGUUUCCAUCUUACUCUGACGUUUCCUCAGGGGGUGCCACACAACUGCCUCACGGCCUACUGGAUACUCCCUUCCAGUCCAUCCUCCAUCUCUCUCAGCCUACUGUAUACUCCCGUCCUCCCCCAACUCCCUCACAGCCUACUGNNNNNNNNNNCUCCAUCUCUCUCACAGCCUACUGUAUACUCCCGUCCUCCCCCAACUUCCUCACAGCCUACUGGAUACUCCCUUCCAACCCAUACUCCAUCUCCCUCAGCCGACUGUAUACUCCCAUCAUCCCCCAACUCCCUCAGCCUACUGUAUACUCCCUUCCAAUCCAUCCUCCAUCUCUCACAGCCUACUGUAUACUCCCAUCCUCCGCCAACUCCCUCACAGCCUACUGGAUACUCCCAAUCCAUCCUCCAUCUUCCUCACAGUAUACAGUAGGCUGUAUACUCCCUUCCAAACCAUCCUUCAUCUCUCUCACAGCCUACUGGAUACUCCCUUCCAAUCCAUCUUCCAUCUCUCUCACAGCCUACUGUAUACUCCCUUCCAAUCCAUCCUUCAUCUCUCUCACAGCCUACUGUAUACUCCCNNNNNNNNNNCCUUCCAAUCCAUCCUUCAUCUCUCUCACAGCCUACUGUAUACUCCCAUCCUCCCCCAACUCCCUCACAGCCUACUGGAUACUCCCUUCCAAUCCAUCCUCCAUCUCCCUCACAGCCUACUGUAUACUCCCAUCCUCCUGCAACUCCCUCAGCCUACUGUAUACUCCCUUCCAAUCCAUCCUCCAUCACUCUCACAGCCUACUGUAUACUCCCUUCCAAUCCAUCCUCCCCCAACUCCCUCACAGCCUACUGUAUACUCCCUUCCAAUCCAUCCUCAUCUCUCUCACAGCCUACUGGAUACUCCCUUCUAAUCCAUCCUCCAUCUCUCUCACAGCCUACUGUAUACUCCCAUCCUCCCCCAACUCCCUCACAGCCUACUGUAUACUCCCUUCCAAUCCAUCCUUCAUCUCUCUCACAGCCUACUGUAUGCUCCCAUCCUCCCCCAACUCCCUCACAGCCUACUGGAUACUCCCUUCCAGUCCAUCCUCCAUCUCCCUCACAGCCUACUGUAUACUCCCAAUCCAUCCCUCUCACAGCCUACUGUGUAAUCCCAUCCUCCCCCAACUCCCUCGCAGCCUACUGUAUACUCCUUUUCAAUCCAUCCUCCCCCAUCUCCCUCACAGCCUACUGUAUACUCCCAAUCCAUCCUCCAUCUCUCUCACAGCCUACUGUAUACUCCCUUCCAAUCCAUCCUCCCCCANNNNNNNNNNUCCCUCACAGCCUACUGUAUACUCCCUUCCAAUCCAUCCUCCCCCAGCUCCCUCACAACCUACUGUAUACUCUCUUCCAAUCCAUCCUUCCCUGUCUCCCUCACAGCCUACUGUUUACUCCCUUCCAAUCCAUCUUCUCCCAUCUCCCUCACAGCCUACUGAACUCCCUUCCAAAUCAUCCUCCCCCAUCGCCUGCUAA
rnacentral:lncRNA from 1 species